CCAAACAAUUCGUUCAAAAAGAACGAAUCGUUCGCGACCGAUACAACACUACCACAAGCAGCUGGAGAGAGAAGACCACGCUAAACAGAGUGACAAGCUCAACAGGGACAUCGGCAGAACACUUGAGAAGUGAUCAGGAGCGUGGAAAACGCGUCUAUUGAGCUUAAACUGUCUCGGUCAGGUCUUUUUGUGAGACUGGAUUAAAGAUGAGAAGAUUCCGGAAAUUUGAUGGCGAGCUUCCCAGCGUGAAAAGACCAAGAAACUUCAUCCUUCAUGGACAACUCUUCAGUGUGGUAGGACAAUACCAACUGACAGGAUUCCAUACAAACUUUGGAGAAAGAAAUACCUUACACAGGAUUAAGGAAAAAAAAGUGAUCACUAGAGUGAAAGACAAUUUUGUUUAUUAUUUUUGGGCCCAAAUUUUAUUUUCUUAUGCUGUUCUAUUGUUUUGAAUUUCAUUGUUGCUAUUGUUGUAGCACAAAGUAAAAAAGUUUUAAAGUUUUCUUCAUUUUCAGCAGAAGCACAGGAAUUGUAGAGACGAGAGAUUACCAGCUGCAUUGAGUGACCUUAAAGUGCCUGUGACACGUAAAAGCAUGUUUAUUUCAUAAUACACGCGGUAUUUUAUGCUCCUGAAUGAUAUGGACCGCUUGGAUGUGUGUGGAAGCGAUCGCUAUAUUUAUUUAGCUUUUUGAAUCCCGCGCCAGGAAAAUGAGUGACUUCCGGCUUCGGUCUUGAAUUAAGGAGGAGGGCGCUGUGACGUGUACGGUAGAAGACGUCCUCUUCACGCUACAGUGUACUGUUGUGUAUGAGGACGAAGGAUUCAGCUGAUUUUGCGGAUUAAUACGUUUAUUUUUCGCAUCACGCCAGCCAAACGGCUGCAGAAAAAUCAUUCUGUAUGAGGGAGAGGCGUAUGCGCCAUUUUGGAGUUUCAAAAGGUUCCCAUUCACCGUGGAUAUUUACUGUGGGACCAUUGGACUUACGAGGAAGUGAGUAAACAUCUUUUGUACUAUGUCAAAUACGAAUACAGCGAUUACAAAGUAAACACUUCCUUUAAAUGAAGGACUACUUAUGUUUGAUCAUUGAUAGGCAUGUAAAAAGCUCUCCUAAUGCAUUAGCAGCAGCACGUUAGCUGCGUUAGCUCCAGCCACCCUCCUCCGGGGAACGAACUGUAAAUUGCUCUCCGCCGGGCGGUUUGCCGAUCCGCUAAGACAUUCGACAACCGGGUCGUCAUGUCAAAUAAUCCAGGAUAGCUAUGUGUGAUUUUCCGCUUUGAAGACUUCGAAACAUCACUCGGUUCGGGUUAGCAUGUUGGCUAGCUGUCACGCCUUCUGGUUUGUUUACAUUCUCCGAAGCCGGGGAAGGGAAAUGACAUGUCCGAUUUAGGUGUCAUAAAAUAUCGUUCGGGAAGUGCGACAGUAAAGGUGAAGUCGACAGUUUUGACCAUUAUGGAGUAAUUUUGCCAUGUCGUCCUGAAUCAUUUUUAUUAUUUCAUAUUCCAUUCAGCACGAGACUGUUAUUUGUCAUGACCAUGCCAUUUAUUUAGAAAUUGGGGAAAAUUCUUGGAUAAAAAGAGUAUCCUGUAAAGAUAUUGAAGUAAAGAGACAGAAACAAUGACAUUUUGCCGCUCUCUUCGUCGCGUUUUCCUCGUUGUGAAUAGUUCCCCCUCAACGGGCUGACUGGUCCUUCUCAAGCCAUUUAUAUAGCUAUUGGGGAAAAAUACUUGGGUAAAAAGAAUAUCCUGUAAAAAUAUUGGAGUAGAGAGACUGAAACAAUGACAUUUUGCGGCUUUCUUCGUUGCGUUUUCCUCGUUCUGAAUAAUUUCCCCUCAAUGGGCUGAAUAGUAAAAUCGAUGAGCCAAGUCUACCGCUGACGUCAUCCACCUGUUGGGGACGCUAAAGCCCUAUAAUGGUAGGCGUGGCUAACCGGCAGAUUAAAAGACUAAUUUCUCGUCAUCUGUGCUUUGCUAAAUUGUUGUAUAUAGUCGAAUUGUCUCAAAAUACGAUUCUAAUUCACAUAAUAAUGACAUUGUAGACUUUUUUUCUCGUGUCAUAUGCUCUUUAAUGAAUCACUUAAGCAUGACAACCUGCUUAGAUAUGUUUCAAUGGAUUUUAAACAAGCAGUCAACUGAGUGUAAACUUUUUUUUUGGGUCACCCUGUAUGUGGACAUGUUCAUAACUCCUUGAAAAUUGUGUAUAAAAACAGAACCAAAUCAGUUCUUAUUUUUAUGUCUAAAAACACAUAAAAACACUAACAUUUUUUUAACUCAAUAUCAAUUGUGAGUGAGAGUAGGUGCUAAGGAACACUCAAAUUGUGAAGUUGAACAGCGGUUUAAAGUGUUUUCUUCUAGUGUGUUAUGUCGUGAAUGUCUCUCCUGCAAUUUAUGUUGGGUUCCUGAAUAAAAAAAACUUAAAAAUAAAAAAAUAUUAAAAAAAAAAAAAAAAAAAAAACUCCCCAUACCUUUAGCAGGAGUGGAUAUUUCGUUAUUCUCUGCACUGGCUUCAGCAGGUAGGAGUUGACUGAGUGUGCCAGUCCGUGUUUCUGCUGAAUGUUCUGUUGAGGAAGAGAGAAAUGAAUGUAUGACAAUGACGUUUCAUGUCUUGUAGUUUCAUUUUGGAUCACUGUGACGUUUAACUUACAUGAAAAUAGUCCACAGCAUGCUCCAUGAUGAGCCGAGUGGAUUCUUCGUUGUUCUUGCAGUAUUCCACAUACAACUGGAAUUUAUCAGCCUAUUUAAACAAGAAUGCUCAGUAUUACUUACAAUAAUUUUUCAGUAUGGUUAUGGUUACUGAGGAAGCGAUAUACAUACCCAUGUGAUAAAGCACUUUCUGACAUCCUCGGGGAUGUGUUCAUAUUUUUCCAGGUCUUUGAGAAAGAUGCUGAAGAAAGAAAGGACAAGGAACCCAGUUAAUACAUUUCAAAAUAAGAGCGGUGGCCAUUGCUGUUAAAGGUCCGUAAUGUUCCCAAAGAUGACAUGCUUCAGAUUGGCGAUUCCUGGAGGGAUCUCUUCCUCCUUUGUCAACAUCUCCCCCAAGUAAAUCUGCAUGAUACCAAACAAAGAUGAAUUUGUUUAUAGAGAUUGUCUUUUAAAAAAUAAAUAAGUUUGAUAAAAAAAGAAACGUCAAGAAAGGCCUUUUCGGUUUGAAUGAGCUCAUUCAAAAUAAACCAAAAUGAAACAUAAACAAGGCGUGAGUAUGUCUG